rnacentral:rRNA from 1 species
UACGGAGGGGGCGAGCGUUAUUCGGAAUUAUUGGGCGUAAAGGGCGCGUAGGCGGCUUGAUGUGUCAAAGGUGAAAUCCCUCGGCUCAACUGAGGAACUGCCUUUGAAACUGUCUGGCUUGAGGCCGGGAGAGGGUAGCGGAAUUCCCAGUGUAGCGGUGAAAUGCGUAGAUAUUGGGAGGAACACCAGUGGCGAAGGCGGCUACCUGGACCGGUUCUGACGCUGAUGCGCGAAAGCGUGGGUAGCAAACAGG